GAUGAACGCUGGCGGUAUGCUUAACACAUGCAAGUCGAACGGACUCUUCGGAGUUAGUGGCGGACGGGUGAGUAACGCGUGAGAAUCUGGCUUUGGGUUCGGGACAACCACUGGAAACGGUGGCUAAUACCAGAUGUGCCGAGAGGUAAAAGAGAAAUUGCCUGAAGAUGAGCUCGCGUCUGAUUAGCUAGUUGGUGAGGUAAAGGCUCACCAAGGCAGCGAUCAGUAGCUGGUCUGAGAGGAUGACCAGCCACACUGGGACUGAGACACGGCCCAGACUCCUACGGGAGGCAGCAGUGGGGAAUUGUCCGCAAGGGGCGAAAGCCUGACGGAGCAAUACCGCGUGAGGGAAGAAGGCUCGUGGGUUGUAAACCUCUUUUCUUAGGGAAGAACAAAAUGACGGUACCUAAGGAAUCAGCAUCGGCUAACUCCGUG
rnacentral:rRNA from 1 species